rnacentral:rRNA from 1 species
CAGCCGCCGCGGUAAUACGGAGGGCGCGAGCGUUACCCGGAUUUACUGGGCGUAAGGGCGUGUAGGCGGCCUGGGGCGUCCCAUGUGAAAGGCCACGGCUCAACCGUGGAGGAGCGUGGGAUACGCUCAGGCUAGAGGGUGGGAGAGGGUGGUGAAAUUCCCGGAGUAGCGGUGAAAUGCGCAGAUACCGGGAGGAACGCCGAUGGCGAAGGCAGCCACCUGGUCCACUUCUGACGCUGAGGCGCGAAAGCGUGGGGAGCGAACAGGAUUAGAUACCCCUGUAGUCCCUGUCUCUUAUACA